rnacentral:lncRNA from 1 species
ACCCGAGUCCGGAGAAGGUUCUGGUUGGAGAAGUCGGAGCUAGAUCGAAGACCAUGGCUAGGGUGGCGGCGGUGGCCAUGUGCGCGCUGUUAGCACUGGUGGUGGUCGGCCCGCCGUCGGUGGCAGCACAGGACUGCGAUGCGGGGAAGCUGAUCGUGUGCGCGGCGGCGAUCAUCGGCGGGGCGGAGCCGUCCGACUCGUGCUGCUCGAACCUGAAGGCGCAGCAAGGCUGCCUCUGCAAGUACGCGAGCAACCCGGCGUACUCCGGCUACAUCAACAGCCCCACCGCCCGCAAGACCCUCGCCUCCUGCGGCAUCCCCAUCCCGACCUGCCCGCAGUAGAAACAUGGUGUAUGCAUGCACGCACAAAAAGUGUGCUAGAUGUGGUGUGUGUUGAUCUAGUGAUUAACUGUCCGGCUUUGAUAUAUUUCAAUAACAGAGGAGUACGAGAGCAGUAGAUGUGCUCGACGUUUGUUUUCUGCUAACUUGUCUUCGCUGAUAAUAAGGAU